rnacentral:rRNA from 1 species
UACGUAGGGUGCGAGCGUUGUCCGGAAUUAUUGGGCGUAAAGGGCGCGUAGGCGGCUUGCACCGUCAGAUGUGAAAUUCCUGGGCUUAACCUGGGGGCUGCAUUUGAUACGUGUGGGCUUGAGUGCGGAAGAGGGUCGUGGAAUUCCCAGUGUAGAGGUGAAAUUCGUAGAUAUUCGCAAGAACACCAGUGGCGAAGGCGGCCGACUGGUCCGGUUCUGACGCUGAGGCGCGAAAGCGUGGGGAGCAAACAGG